CUACGGGACGCUCCAGUGGGAAAUAUUGGACAAUGGGCGAAAGCCUGAUCCAGCCAUGCCGCGUGAGUGAUGAAGGCCCUAGGGUUGUAAAGCUCUUUUGUGCGGGAAGAUAAUGACGGUACCGCAAGAAUAAGCCCCGGCUAACUUCGUGCCAGCAGCCGCGGUAAUACGAAGGGGGCUAGCGUUGCUCGGAAUCACUGGGCGUAAAGGGUGCGUAGGCGGGUCUUUAAGUCAGAGGUGAAAUCCUGGAGCUCAACUCCAGAACUGCCUUUGAUACUGAGGAUCUUGAGUUCGGGAGAGGUGAGUGGAACUGCGAGUGUAGAGGUGAAAUUCGUAGAUAUUCGCAAGAACACCAGUGGCGAAGGCGGCUCACUGGCCCGAUACUGACGCUGAGGCACGAAAGCGUGGGGAGCAAACAGGAUUAGAUACCCUCGUAGUC
rnacentral:rRNA from 1 species